CUGAGGGAAACCCUUGGCUCUCUCUAUCUCCUUGCUUCGCACAGCCCCAGCUUCUCCAAGCUCUCACCACUCUGCUGCCUUCUGGAUCCAUGACAGGCCUCUUCAUUUCAACUCAACUUCAUUUCAGUUGAGAAGGAAAAUAUUGCUGUGAAUGGCCAGGAGAUGAUACCUUACUACCAGCAGAACUCCAAGGGGAGCACAAGAUUUCCCAGGGAACAGCUCUCCAGCUAGGCAUAAUCCUUCCUUUACAAGUUCAGCAGUAUCCAGUCUAUAGGGUCUUCCUUUCAAAUGCACAUGGAACAACCCUCCAGCAUUCCAUCAAAGCAAAACCAACCACUGCUUUGAGAACAGCCAGCUGGAAAUGAGGGGGACACAAACUGGGCCUUGUAGCAAGAGGUAAGUACUGUGGGAAAACUUCUAAUUCACACAAAUGCUCA